GACGAACGCUGGCGGCGUGCUUAACACAUGCAAGUCGAACGGAAAGGCCCUGCUUUUGUGGGGUGCUCGAGUGGCGAACGGGUGAGUAACACGUGAGUAACCUGCCCUUGACUUUGGGAUAACUUCAGGAAACCGGGGCUAAUACCGGAUAGGAGCUCCUGCUGCAUGGUGGGGGUUGGAAAGUUUCGGCGGUUGGGGAUGGACUCGCGGCUUAUCAGCUUGUUGGUGGGGUAGUGGCUUACCAAGGCUUUGACGGGUAGCCGGCCUGAGAGGGUGACCGGCCACACUGGGACUGAGAUACGGCCCAGACUCCUACGGGAGGCAGCAGUGGGGAAUAUUGCACAAUGGGCGGAAGCCUGAUGCAGCAACGCCGCGUGCGGGAUGACGGCCUUCGGGUUGUAAACCGCUUUCGCCUGUGACGAAGCGUGAGUGACGGUAAUGGGUAAAGAAGCACCGGCUAACUACGUG
rnacentral:rRNA from 1 species